UGUGAACGAUGAGGAAGAC
rnacentral:misc_RNA from 1 species